ACACACCGCUCCUACCGAUUGAAUGGUCCAGUGAAGUGUUCGGAUCGCGGCGACGUGGGUGGUUCACUGCCCGCGACGUCGCGAGAAGUCCACUGAACCUUAUCAUUUAGAGGAAGGAGAAGUCGUAACAAGGUUUCCGUAAGUGAACCUGCAAAAG
rnacentral:ncRNA from 2 species